AUCAACCCUAUACCCCACUACAGACACUAACCAACACUAUUACCAAUAUCCCUCCACUGUAGCCACUAUCCUCCCACCGUAGACACUAUUCCCCACUUAUUGUAGGAACUAUUUCUAUCAAUGGUAGCCACUAUCCAACACCACCCAUUAUAACCAUUAUGAUCUCAAUGCAGCUCCUAUCCCCCUACUACAGCCCCUAUACCUACACUAUAUGUUUUUUCUGCCACUACUGCCCCUAUCCCCCUCUACAGCCUCUAUACCCCUACAUUAGUUCAUAACCCCCAUUAAAAAUGAAUACAUUUGAAUUGAGAUCAUGUCACAUCAAUAUCUUAAAG